rnacentral:lncRNA from 1 species
GUAGUGUGUUGGAGCCAGCUCGGACUAGCUUAGAAGAGUCAACUGUGCACGAUGCUUUUCAACUCUGUCUUCAGGGACUUCAGGAGCACUGCUUAAAACCGGCCUUGGUGAGGAGGGAUUUAUUUCAUUUGCUCCUGAAGUUAAAUCUCAUGAAAUCAUGUGAAAUUCAGUGAUGUGUUACUGGGAACAAAAAGGGUUACGUUAUUAAUUGUGAUGCCUUCCCACAAGAGCUGUGUCUGUACUGUGCCACAUAACCCCUGAAGCUGAAUAAAGAACUUUCUCCUUGAUUCCCCCAGCCCUCCAAAAACAUCAGCAGGUGAUGAGGUCCCAUUGUAAAUGACCCAAGGACAAACAGCUCAUGACUUCAAAGGAGGCCUCUUCAACCCAGGGCAAAUUCAGGCCUUCAUUCCAGGGGUCUGUAAGCAAGUACUGAGUGAAGAGAUAUCCUAAAAUCAAUCGGUAAAUUGCAUGUUUGAAGUAAACUAAAAACCAAAUUUCAGGGUUGAUGCUGGCUUUGGAGGAGAUGGGAAAAUCAUUUGUUUGGAGACAAGAAGCAUGUUAUGCCGGUAGAUGUGUGCACAUAUGCUUCUAUAAGUGGGUACAUGCAUUCCCACUUUUCCUGCCAAGUCUUUAGAAAACCACUUAAGUAAGAAUGGAGAAAUGUAGCAUUGUAGCUUCCCUACAGUUUGUGUUCAUUUUGUUUAUUGCAGU